AAGAAAAGAGACAAGAUGAAAAAAAAAAGAAAACAAAACAUGCUUCUCCAAAAUAAAAAUAAGUGCACCCAUGUGCACCUUGGAUAAAAGAAAAAAAAAAUUGAAUGCUUCUAAAAUUUCAAUAGGACCGUGUGUGCUGUUAUUCUAUUCUUAUCACCGCUUCAUCAUCCUAAAAAAAAAGAAAGCAAAGAUAACAUGUGGUGGCUGGCCAUAAAUUGAAUGGAACGCUUUUCUAUUAUGCUGGACUAAAACCUUUGUUCCUAACUGUGAACUUUCAAAGUAAAUGAAAAGAAAAUGUUGCAGCAUUGCACAUAAAGGAAGGGAAAACAAAAACUUGAUUCAUUCAUUCAGCCAACAUAAAAAACCAUGAUCUCCAUGUGUCCAAGCCAAAAAUCUGAAAAGAAAUCAAAAGUGAUGGCACCCUUUCAAACCUGCCGAGAAUGAGCUGCUUGCAAUGUGUGGCUGCUUAUUUUUUUC
rnacentral:lncRNA from 1 species